rnacentral:lncRNA from 1 species
CUGCAAUAAUCAUGCUCAAUCUGGAUUAAGUUUGUUGAUUUUUUUAUGAUGAUGAAUCCAGAUGACAUAUAUAUUUUUUUUUCACAUGUAUAUAUUUUUCAUUAAGAAUCAGUAACUCCCAUUUUUUUUUCUUCUGUGUCAAACACGAAAUUAGCAUAAUUAAUGAAACCUAGAAAAUCCAAAAUACUUCGUCUUGUCGUC